rnacentral:lncRNA from 1 species
CCUGGACGCCCCAUCAUCUCUGGAAUUGGCACUCUCACUGAAGGACUGUCCUGAUAUGUGGACUCUCUACUCAGACCCUAUGCCACCAGCACUCCCAGCUAUCUCCGUGACACCACUGAUUUCCUGAGAAAACUACAAUGCAUUGGUGAUCUUCCAGAAAACACCAUCCUAGCCACCAUGGAUGUGGAGGCUCUCUACACAAACAUCCCACACACAGAUGGAAUACAAGCUGUCAGGAACAGUAUCCCUGAUGAUGCCACGGCACAACUGGUUGCUGAGCUCUGUGACUUUAUCGUCACACACAAUUAUUUCAAAUUUGGUGACAAUAUAUACCUCCAGACCAGUGGAACUGCUAUGGGCACCCGCAUGGCCCCACAAUAUGCCAACAUUUUUAUGGCUGACCUGGAACAACGCUUCCUCAGCUCUCGUCCACUCAUGCCCCUUCUCUACCUACGCUACAUUGAUGACAUCUUCAUCAUCUGGAGCCAUGGGAAGGAGACUCUGGAAGAAUUCCACCACGGUUUCAACAGCCUGGACCAAUCUACACCGGAGGUCCACUUCCUAGACACCACAGUACAAAUAAGUGACGGUCACGUUAACAUCACCCUAUACCAAAAACCCACUGACCGCUAUGCCUACCUUCAUGCCUCCAGCUUCCAUCCUGGACACACCACACGAUCCAUCGUCUACAACCAAGCGCUGAGGUACAACCGCAUUUGCUCCAACCCCUCAGACAGAGACCAACACCUACAAGAUCUUCACCAAGCAUUCUCAAAACUACGAUACCCACACGAGGAAAUAAGGAAACAAAUCAACAGAGCCAGAUGUGUACCCAGAAGCCUCCUGCUGCAAGACAAGCCCAAGAAAGAAACCAACAGAACUCCACUGGCCAUCACCUACAGUCCUCAGCUAAAACCUCUCCAACGCAUCAUCAGUGAUCUACAACCCAUCCUGGACAACGAUCCCUCACUUUCACAGGCCUUGGGAGACAGGCAAGUCCUCGCCCACAGA